AUGGAAUUUCAUUUAUAUGAUGAGCAUAAGGAGAUGUCACUUUAUGAUUUCUGUCGGAUUUGUUUAGUCCCUUUUGAGGGCAAGACAGAAGAAGCACAUCGUGAUGAUGUGGAGGGAUUUAUUGACACUAUCACUGUAGGGGAAACAAGGAAGGUUUCCGACGCACGAAUCACUAGCAUAUGUUUUCCUAUUUUACGCUACUUUGCAUUAUUUGCUAGUCGUUGCUUAAUUGGUCGUGAAAACUGUGGAAACCUGAGUAUCCCUAAUAUUAUUAUUGCUAGACGGUUAAGUAUGAACCGUACUAAGGGUCCCAUCUUUGGAGGCAUCUAUGCUACACGCCUAGCUGCACAUUUUAACAUACCUAUUAGGCAUGCUGAGAAGCAAGAAAAAGUGCUGCCUCGUGUUUAUCUAGAUUAUAAAAGUAUGGUGGCCCAUGAUUUUAUUAUUAAGAAUAGGGCAGGAGAGCUUAAAUAUCAAUUGUUCUUUAAUAAACAUCAUCCUGAGACUAUUACCUUGCCUGCUCCUUCUUUGUUUGAUUUGACUGUAGGCACGUACCUUGUUCCGUUGACGGCUAUUCACGCUUACCGGAACCCUGCACCAGCCGAGGAGCCAGAACCGGAACCACCAUUUGUUCCUUCACGACAGUCUAACUAUCAGUGGGAUCCGAAGAUGAUUGCCAGCCAGUGGCAAUCGGAGCCUUCUUCUUCCUCAUCACAGUACGACCCCAACAACUAUUAUUAUGGAUAUCAGCCAGGCCAGCCGUGGCCAUAA
rnacentral:rRNA from 1 species